AUUGAAAGUUGGCGGCAUGCUUUACACAUGCAGUCGAACGGUAGAGGGCUUCGGCCCUUGAGAGUGGCGAACGGGUGAGUAAUGCAUCGGAACAUACCCAGUCGUGGGGGAUAACGUAGCGAAAGUUACGCUAAUACCGCAUACGUCCUGAGGGAGAAAGCGGGGGAUCGCAAGACCUCGCGCGAUUGGAGUGGCCGAUGUCAGAUUAGCUAGUUGGUGGGGUAAAGGCCUACCAAGGCGACGAUCUGUAGCGGGUCUGAGAGGAUGAUCCGCCACACUGGGACUGAGACACGGCCCAGACUCCUACGGGAGGCAGCAGUGGGGAAUUUUGGACAAUGGGCGCAAGCCUGAUCCAGCCAUGCCGCGUGCGGGAUGAAGGCCUUCGGGUUGUAAACCGCUUUCAGCCGGAAAGAAAUCGCCAUUUCUAAUACGAGUGGUGGAUGACGGUACCGGAAGAAGAAGCACCGGCUAACUACGUG
rnacentral:rRNA from 1 species